CGGGAAGAGCUCAAAUUUAUAAUCUGGCGCUUUCAGCGUCCGAGUUGUAAUCUCUAGAAGUGUUUUCCGCGUUGGACCGCACAUAAGUCUGUUGGAAUACAGCGGCACAGUGGUGAGACCCCCGUAUACGGUGCGGAUGCCCAAUGCUUUGUGAUACACUUUCGAA
rnacentral:rRNA from 1 species